UCAGCGUGAGCGUGGCUGUGUGUGUGUCAGCCAGUCUUCCACAGUGCUGCCGCCCUCCCCCCGCCCCCAGCCUCGCAGUCAUGGCAACAAAGGGGAGUGUCUUGAGAGUGAGCAGCGCCGCGAAGCUGCCAGCCCAGAACAGAGAAGGAGAGAGGAGUCCUCUCACUGUCUGCAGAGUGCCCUAGUUGCUGACAGUCCACACCCCACACACAGCCAUGAAAGAUUGAAGAGCCGGCCCCUAGCCUAACAGAAAGGAGUCUGGACAGGUCAGGACUCAGGACAGCCUGGUGUGUCUUAUAAGGCGGAAUAUAGGUUCCUCAAGCCAGCGAUUGUUUGAGGCAGAGAGAAGAUAGGAGGACCACACAGAGGAGAAGCCAACUGCUGCUGACGGGACCAGGGCCAGGCACAUUACAGGCAUUUGCUCUUCUGCAUUCUUUGAAACCUAUGAAGGAUCUAACUACCACUGAGCAAUAUAGUCCAUUUUCCAACGUCAUUCGUCAUCAACUCCAACCUGAACAGUUCUAAGGACUCUGACCUAAUCAUCGAAAGCAGUACAUGAGUUCUGCACUACAGACUGUUACUGCAGAGAAGGACCUACAGCUAUAGAUGUCACCCUAGGUCAUAAUUCAAGCUUGCUUAGCUUUCCUAUAGGAGACAUCACCAUCUGUAUCACUUCAUUAAUAUUGUGUGAAAUUGGACCUUAUUUCUGAAUUAACAUCUGAUUGUAGCUGUCAAGAGUGAUAUGACUGGUUGUGUUCAGCAUUACAGAUUUUUCAGGGUCAUCGAAUGUAUACCAAGACCUACAUGGCAACAUUCAGCAUAUGUCAUUCAAGUUCCAGGAUUUGGGCUACUUAAGAUUACCAUUUGCUACUACUAUGUAUUGGAAGAAGCUUACACAGUGCCAGCACACACUGAAGACACCUCAAGGUUUGAUCAAACCUUUUAUUAUCUGAAGAAUAUAAACAAAAUGAAGAGACAAGC